rnacentral:rRNA from 1 species
AUGGGAGGCGGCAGCAUGGGGAUCCGCGCGGCCGCCAGGGCCGCCUUCAUCGGCGGCUACCGCUCCGCCUCGAACGCCCGCCGCUCCGCCCUGCCCUCCUCCUCCGCCGCCGCGGCCGACACCCGCCCCGUCUCCACGGCCACCACCUUCGACGACUGGUACAUCCCCGACCGCGAGGUGUUCGGCCCCGUGCCCUCCCACGAGGAGGCCAUGGCCGCCACCCUCGACCUCAGGGACGCCUUCGAGAUUGCCAAGAUUGAUUCCCAUGGUGGCCGCCUGGAUAUCUCCAAGACACAUAUCUCCCAUGAUGGCCUUGAUGAUCCCACAAAGGUUGCUCAGGAAACAUUUCAGGAUCAUCUCCAUUCAGAAGCAUCUAAGCAUGAAGAGAAGCAUGACAGUUUAUCCGUUGCCUCUGGAUCCUCUGCACGUGUUAUUGAAGCCUUCACCAUGCUACACGAGAGUCCUGAAGCUCAGGAUGUUGUUGCUUCGCUUGCUUCUGAUAAGAAUGUCUGGGAAGCUGUGAUGAAGAACAAGAAACUUGUGGAGUUUUACAAGACAAACCUCAGCGAGUCAUCCAGUGUCACUGACGAAGCUGAGCAGAGCGACGCCGAGAGCUCGCAGAGCAGCAAUGGUGUCGUCUCGCCGGCAGAUGCAUUCAGUGAUUACAUUCAGAUGAUGAAGGCGUUCGUGUCGGAGAUGGUGACGAAUCUUUCGAGCAUAAUGCAGGACCUGGUGGCCACGUCAGACGAGGGCCAGAGCAAGGGGAGGUUGAAGACCCUGAUCAUCAACUCCAAGAAGGAUUUCACAAAUGGCCCGUCGUCCUUCGUGCUCCUGGCCAUCGCGUCUAUUCUGGUCGUUUUGCUCAAGCGUGCAUAG